rnacentral:rRNA from 1 species
UACGUAGGGUGCAAGCGUUAUCCGGAAUUAUUGGGCGUAAAGAGCUCGUAGGCGGUCUGUCGCGUCGAUCGUGAAAACUUGGGGCUUAACCGUGAGCUUGCGGUCGAUACGGGCAUGACUGGAGUUCGGCAGGGGAGACUGGAAUUCCUGGUGUAGCGGUGAAAUGCGCAGAUAUCAGGAGGAACACCGGUGGCGAAGGCGGGUCUCUGGGCCGAUACUGACGCUGAGGAGCGAAAGCGUGGGGAGCGAACAGG